GUAGGGGGCAAGCGUUAUCCGGAUUUACUGGGUGUAAAGGGAGCGUAGACGGCUGUGCAAGUCUGAAGUGAAAGGCAUGGGCUCAACCUGUGGACUGCUUUGGAAACUGUGCAGCUAGAGUGUCGGAGAGGUAAGUGGAAUUCCUAGUGUAGCGGUGAAAUGCGUAGAUAUUAGGAGGAACACCAGUGGCGAAGGCGGCUUACUGGACGAUGACUGACGUUGGGGCUCGAAAGCGUGGGGAGCAAACAGGAUUAGAUACCCUGGUAGUCCACGCCGUAAACGAUGACUGCUAGGUGUCGGGUAGCAAAGCUAUUCGGUGCCGCAGCUAACGCAAUAAGCAGUCCACCUGGGGAGUACGUUCGCAAGAAUGAAACUCAAAGGAAUUGACGG
rnacentral:rRNA from 1 species